AUGAGCACGGCCCUGGCUACUUGGAGAGGCGCGGUGAAGAGAAUGAUUGAAAAAGGUGAUAGUUAUGAGAAUAUCAAGGAUAAAAAUCCUUCGGUCAUUGAAGAUGACUACAAGGAGUUCAAGAUCAAGUGCGAGAGCAACGCAACCAUGGAAUCAUGUCAGUUGGGGAAAGAUAUGCGGGACUUGAACUUAGGGGUCCACCAACUCGGUCCCGGCGGUUAUAGAGUGGCGGAACCUAUUUGGGAUAAGGAGGACGCGGAGCGUGUCGAGCAAGGCCUAUCGCCCCGCUUCAAGAAAUACCGUGACAAGCAGACCAGGAACUAUGUUAGGGCCCGGUACAAGGUGGACCCAGUAACAAAGGAGCUUACCACGGGUCCAAAGACCAAGGCGCUUGAUCUUGUUCUGGACACUAAAAGCAGUAGCGCGGGGUCGUCUUAG
rnacentral:rRNA from 1 species